rnacentral:rRNA from 1 species
UACGUAGGGGCCAAGCGUUGUCCGGAUUUAUUGGGCGUAAAGAGCUCGUAGGCGGUUGGGUAAGUCGGGUGUGAAAACUCCGGGCUCAACUCGGAGACGCCACUCGAUACUGCCAUGACUCGAGUCCGGUAGGGGAGUGCGGAAUUCCUGGUGUAGCGGUGAAAUGCGCAGAUAUCAGGAGGAACACCGGUGGCGAAGGCGGCACUCUGGGCCGGUACUGACGCUGAGGUGCGAAAGCGUGGGGAGCAAACAGG